UACGUAGGGGGCAAGCGUUGUCCGGAAUCAUUGGGCGUAAAGAGCGUGUAGGCGGCCCGAUAAGUCCGCUGUGAAAGUCCAGGGCUCAACCCUGGGAUGCCGGUGGAUACUGUCGGGCUCGAGUCCGGAAGAGGAGAGUGGAAUUCCUGGUGUAGCGGUGAAAUGCGCAGAUAUCAGGAAGAACACCUAUGGCGAAGGCAGCUCUCUGGGACGGUACUGACGCUGAGACGCGAAAGCGUGGGGAGCGAACAGG
rnacentral:rRNA from 1 species